AGUACCCGUGGGAGCCGGGCGCGGUCCCGGCCCGGACGGGAGAUGUGGUGGAGGAAGACGCUAAAGGGCGGUUCAGCCGCCGUCAGGUGCUG
rnacentral:tRNA from 1 species